AUUGAACGCUGGCGGCAGGCCUAACACAUGCAAGUCGAGCGAGCGGCGGACGGGUGAGUAAUGUCUGGGAAACUGCCUGAUGGCGGGGGAUAACUACUGGAAACGGUAGCUAAUACCGCAUACCAUCAGAUGUGCCCAGAUGGGAUUAGCUAGUUGGUGGGGUAACGGCUCACCUAGGCGACGAUCCCUAGCUGGUCUGAGAGGAUGACCAGCGACCCUGGAACUGAGACACGGUCCAGACUCCUGGGGGAGGCAGCAGUGGGGAAUAUUGCACAAUGGGCGCAAGCCUGAUGCAGCCAUGCCGCGGGUGUGAAGAAGGCCUUCGGGUUGUAAAGCACUUUCAGCGGGGAGGCGUUACACGCAGAAGAAGCACCGGCUAACUCCGUGCCAGCAGCCGCGGUAAUUC
rnacentral:rRNA from 1 species